GCGGGAAUAGCUCAGUUGGUAGAGCAUAACCUUGCCAAGGUNNGUUGGGGUCGCGAGUUCGAGUCUCGUUUCCCGCUCCA
rnacentral:tRNA from 1 species